GACGGAAGGUGCAAGCGUUGCUCGGAAUCACUGGGCGUAAAGGGUGCGUAGGCGGCUUGGUAGGUCUGGUGUGAAAGCCCCGGGCUCAGCCCGGGAAGGGCACUAGAAACUGCCAAGCUAGAGUGCCGGAGGGGAGAGUGGAAUUCCUGGUGUAGCGGUGAAAUGCGUAGAUAAUCAGGAGGAAUACCGGUGGCGAAAGCGACUCUCUGGACGGCAACUGGACGCUGAGGCACGAAAGCGUGGGGAGCAAACAGG
rnacentral:rRNA from 1 species